UACGGAGGAUGCAAGCGUUAUCCGGAAUGAUUGGGCGUAAAGCGUCCGCAGGUGGCAGUUCAAGUCUGCUGUCAAAGGUCCUAGCUCAACUAGGGACAGGCAGUGGAAACUGAACAGCUAGAGUGCGGUGGGGGCAGAGGGAAUUCCCAGUGUAGCGGUGAAAUGCGUAGAGAUUGGGAAGAACACCGGUGGCGAAAGCGCUCUGCUAGGCCGCAACUGACACUCAGGGACGAAAGCUAGGGGAGCGAAUGGG
rnacentral:rRNA from 1 species